GUGAAUCAUCGAAUCUUUGAACGCACAUUGCACUUUCUGGUAUUCCGGAGAGUAUGCCUGUUUGAGGGUCAGUUAAAUAAAAAUCGGUUGUUUUGCUGCCUUUCGUUGUGACGCGUCGGUUUUGAGUCGUCUUACCUUCGAUUAAGCUUCUUAAAAUUUUUGCAUGAUUUUCGCACGUAUUUAAAUCGUUUACGUACGUUGGAGAUAUCGAAGGCUUAUUAGAUUCGGUCA
rnacentral:misc_RNA from 1 species